rnacentral:rRNA from 1 species
CCGGCGACCGGCGCACGGGUGAGUAACACGUAUGCAACCUGCCCUCUUCAGGGGGACAACCUUCCGAAAGGGAGGCUAAUCCCGCGUAUAUCGGUUUCGGGCAUCCGAGAUCGAGGAAAGAUUCAUCGGAAGAGGAUGGGCAUGCGGCGCAUUAGCUAGACGGCGGGGUAACGGCCCACCGUGGCGACGAUGCGUAGGGGUUCUGAGAGGAAGGUCCCCCACAUUGGAACUGAGACACGGUCCAAACUCCUACGGAAGGCAGCAG